rnacentral:rRNA from 1 species
UGCGUAGGGUGCGAGCGUUAAUCGGAAUUACUGGGCGUAAAGCGUGCGCAGGCGGUUUUGUAAGCCAGAUGUGAAAGCCCCGGGCUUAACCUGGGAAUGGCAUUUGGGACUGCAAGGCUUGAGUGCGGCAGAGGAGACUGGAAUUCCUGGUGUAGCAGUGAAAUGCGUAGAUAUCAGGAGGAAUACCGAUGGCGAAGGCGGCCAUCUGGACGAGCACUGACGCUGAGACGCGAAAGCGUGGGUAGCAAACAGG